rnacentral:rRNA from 15 species
AAUCCAUAGGUUAAUGAGGCGAACCGGGGGAACUGAAACAUCUAAGUACCCCGAGGAAAAGAAAUCAACCGAGAUUCCCCCAGUAGCGGCGAGCGAACGGGGAGGAGCCCAGAGCCUGAAUCAGCAUGUGUGUUAGUGGAAGCGUCUGGAAAGGCGCGCGAUACAGGGUGACAGCCCCGUACACAAAAGCGCAUGUGCUGUGAGCUCGAUGAGUAGGGCGGGACACGUGGUAUCCUGUCUGAAUAUGGGGGGACCAUCCUCCAAGGCUAAAUACUCCUGACUGACCGAUAGUGAACCAGUACCGUGAGGGAAAGGCGAAAAGAACCCCGGCGAGGGGAGUGAAAAAGAACCUGAAACCGUGUACGUACAAGCAGUGGGAGCACAGGUUUACCUGUGUGACUGCGUACCUUUUGUAUAAUGGGUCAGCGACUUAUAUUCUGUAGCAAGGUUAACCGAAUAGGGGAGCCGGAGGGAAACCGAGUCUUAAU